UGAACGCUGGCGGAGUGCCUAACACAUGCACGUCGAGCGGCAGCGCGAGUAGUUUACUACUUGGCGGCGAGCGGCGGACGGCUGAGUAACGCGUGGGAACAUGCCCCAAAGUGAGGAAUAACUGCCCGAAAGGGUAGCUAAUGCCGCAUAUGAUCUUCGGAUUAAAGGAUUUAUCCGCUUUGGGAGUGGCCUGCGUACGAUUAGAUAGUUGGUGAGGUAAAGGCUCACCAAGUCGACGAUCGUUAACUGGUUUGAGAGGAUGAUCAGUCAGACUGGAACUGAGACACGGUCCAGACUCCUACGGGAGGCAGCAGUGAGGAAUCUUCCACAAUGGGCGAAAGCCUGAUGGAGCAACUCCGCGUGCAGGAUGAAGGCCUUCGGGUUGUAAACUGCUUUUAUGAGUGAAGAAUAUGACGGUAACUCAUGAAUAAGGGUCGGCUAACUACGUG
rnacentral:rRNA from 1 species